CCCACUGGGGCCCGAGGUGAAUUUCGAACCCAGCGCUCCAGUGAUGAACUAUGAGAAAAUUAAGAACUAUAUAAAAUGAUAAGGACCGAGAUGCAAUUC